rnacentral:RNase_P_RNA from 2 species
GGUUCUGUAUGGCUCCGGCGUGAACCGGAACGUGGCAGCCAUUCCUCUGGGACAGCGCUCGCACGCUGCCUCACGCAACCCACCCGGAUGACUGGCCUGGAAACCGGCCGGAGAGCCUUUCGGCCCGCCGCAUCAUCCCUAUUCGGUCUUGCUCCCGGUGGGGUUUACCGUGCCAUAUCCGUUGCCGGAGAUGCGGUGGGCUCUUACCCCACCCUUUCACCCUUACCUGUCAUGACAGGCGGUUUGCUUUCUGUGGCACUUUCCCUGAGGUCGCCCUCGCCGGACGUUAUCCGGCACCGUGUUUCCGUGGAGCCCGGACUUUCCUCACCCUACCGCCUUUCGGCAUUGGUAAAGCGCGGCUGCCCGGCCAACUGGCAGGGCUCCCAUAAACGAGAGAGC